GGUGUCACCGUGCCCCAACCACCCCUCAUCUCCCCCGCUGUCCCUGCAGCACAGCCUAUGCCCCUGAGGCCACCGACUACGACGUGCGGGUGCUGCUGCGCUUCCCCCAGCGUGUGAAGAACCAGGGCACAGCGGACUUCCUCCCCAACCGGCCACGGCACACCUGGGAGUGGCACAGCUGCCACCAACAUUACCACAGCAUGGACGAGUUCAGCCACUACGACCUACUGGAUGCCGCCACAGGCAAGAAGGUGGCCGAGGGCCACAAGGCCAGUUUCUGCCUGGAGGACAGCACCUGUGACUUCGGCAACCUCAAGCGCUAUGCAUGCACCUCUCAUACCCAGGGCCUGAGCCCAGGCUGCUAUGACACCUACAAUGCGGACAUUGACUGCCAGUGGAUCGACAUAACCGACGUGCAGCCUGGGAACUACAUCCUCAAGGUGCACGUGAACCCAAAGUAUAUUGUUUUGGAGUCUGACUUCACCAACAACGUGGUGAGAUGCAACAUUCACUACACAGGUCGCUACGUUUCUACAACAAACUGCAAAAUUGUCCAG
rnacentral:sRNA from 1 species